rnacentral:lncRNA from 1 species
AUUCUGCAACACAAAUUAUGGCAUAUCGUUAAUUAUUUAUAUUAUUAGAAAAUAUAUUUGUUCAAAACUUUAUAUAUAAGUUGUCAAAUUCAACAUACGUGGAGCUGGAUGACCGAGGCAAAAAAUAUGAACACUAAGAAGACCUAUCUGUUACAGCAAUGCUUGAUUGGUAAGAGGUGUGGCACAACACAAACCAAGCACGAUUUUGAAAAAUGUGCAUGUAUGAAGCUGUAGGAACUUGCUAUAUGACUACAAAUGUAAAGCUAAUCUUCUAAACUCCAACUAGGCUUAAUUGUGUUCAUAAUCAUAAGCUUUAGGUCAUUUUGCAAUUAAAAAUUUGACAUAAAUUUUUUACCACUAUCACAGCACAAAUUUUACUGCUGAUAAAUGCUCAACAAGGGCGAUUAACAUAAAAAAGAAGCACAAGGAUGGGUGUGCUAUCAAUGUUUCCUAUUGCAGUAUAACCACUGAACAUAAAAAAUGACACUUGAAUAACUGGUCUAAAUGUUAUCAAUGCACCAAAAUUAUUGGUAUCUAAACAAAAUUUCUUCUCCUACACGUGGACAAUGUACCACCAACGAAAUUUUAAUAAUUAUUCCCUCCGUCCCAACGAAAGCGGUGCGUAUUCCUGUUUGAGCUGUCCCAAUGAAAGUGGCGUAUUUUUUUUUCUCCUUAAAUCCCGUGCCGAAAAGAAGCGCACCGCUU